UGGGGACAUCGGUAAAUGCCCCUUUUUCCAGCAUGCAACGCCCACUUUGAGGCCCUCAACCAAUCAGGUUUGUCAUCCCCAUGUCCACCUGUCCCCGCAGGGCUCCGGGCGGCCGUGACCCUGCUGGAGUGCGGGGGGGACCUCCAGCCCCCCGGGGGGUCCCUGCGCCUCCUCUGCCGAGGGGCUGGGUUUGAUUUCGGGAGUUUUAGCAUGCAAUGGAUCCGCCAGAGACCCGGGCAGGGGCUGGAGUGGCUCGCAGGGAUCGACAUCUUUGACGGCACCCACUACGCGCCGUCGGUGCAGGGCCGGUUCAGGAUCUCCAGGGACAAUGGGCAGAGCUCGGUGACGCUGACCAUG